CCUACGGGAGGCAGCAGUGGGGAAUAUUGCACAAUGGGGGAAACCCUGAUGCAGCGACGCCGCGUGAGUGAAGAAGUAUUUCGGUAUGUAAAGCUCUAUCAGCAGGGAAGAAAAUGACGGUACCUGAUUAAGAAGCCCCGGCUAACUACGUGCCAGCAGCCGCGGGAAUACGUAGGGGGCAAGCGUUAUCCGGAUUUACUGGGGGUAAAGGGAGCGUAGACGGCAGCACAAGUCUGGAGUGAAAUGCCGGGGCUUAACCCCGGAACUGCUUUGGAAACUGUGCAGCUAGAGUGCAGGAGAGGUAAGUGGAAUUCCUAGUGUAGCGAUGAAAUGCGUAGAUAUUAGGAGGAACACCAGUGGCGAAGGCGGCUUACUGGACUGUAACUGACGUUGAGGCUCGAAAGCGUGGGGAGCAAACAGGAUUAGAUACCCCAGUAGUC
rnacentral:rRNA from 1 species